UCUGAAAGAAGUUAUGAAAAACAACACAAUAAUUGUAGGGGACUUCAACACCCCACUCACAUCAAUGGAUUGAUCAUCCAGACAGAAA